UGAGUAAUGUAUAGCUAACAUGCCCCAUAGAGGGGGAUAACGGCUGGAAACGGCCGCUAAUACCCCAUAUUCCUUAUAGUUGAGAUACUAUAAGGGAAAGGAGUAAUCCGCUAUGGGAUCGGGCUAUAUCGUAUCAGCUAGUUGGUAAGGUAAAGGCCUACCAAGGCUAUGACGCGUAGCUGGUCUGAGAGGAUGAUCAGCCACACUGGAACUGAGACACGGUCCAGACUCCUACGGGAGGCAGCANUGGGGAAUAUUGGGCAAUGGGCGAAAGCCUGACCCAGCAACGCCGCAUGGAGGAUGACGCCCUUCGGGGUGUAAACUCCUUUUAUCAGGGAAGAUGAUGACGGUNCCUGAUGAAUAANCACCGGCUAACUCCGUGCCANC
rnacentral:rRNA from 1 species